UUGUUUAUUAUCAACUUUUGAAGGACAUUGGAAACUGUAGGUAGCAUCCCUCUCACAUACCUCACAUAACACUGUAGAGUUCAAGAAAGCUAAGACAUGUCUAGCAAUGGGGUGAGUACUUUUGCUUAAAAUUCUCCCAUGUUAGUGGGAUGCCUUGGUUCCUGCUUGGAAGGGGGGAUCGGUGAGGAAGAAGCACCCCGCAGGACACGGUUCCCGCUUGGAAGGGGGGGUGGGGGACGGACAGAGCACACCGCAGGGCAGGUUUCACGCUUGGAAGGGGGGAUCGGUGAGGAAGAAGCACCCCGCAGGACACGGUUCCCGCUUGGAAGGGGGGGUGGGGGACGGACAGAGCACACCGCAGGGCAGGUUUCCCGCUUGGAAGGGGGGGUGGGGGACGGACAGAGCACACCGCAGGGCAGGUUUCCCGCUUGGAAGGGGGGGUGGGGGACGGACAGAGCACACCGCAGGGCAGGUUUCCCGCUUGGAAGGGGGGGUGGGGGACGGACAGAGCACACCGCAGGGCAGGUUUCCCGCUUGGAAGGGGGGGUGGGGGACGGACAGAGCACACCGCAGGGCAGGUUUCCCGCUUGGAAGGGGGGGUGGGGGACGGACAGAGCACACCGCAGGGCAGGUUUCCCGCUUGGAAGGGGGGGGUGGGGGACGGACAGAGCACACCGCAGGGCAGGUUUCACGCUUGGAAG